rnacentral:rRNA from 1 species
UUUAAAUGUAAAUUUUUGAACUAAAUUAGUAAUAGAUAUGAUCUUCAAAUUUAAAGAUUUUGGCGGUAUUUUAGUCUAUUCAGAGGAACCUGUUCUGUAAUUGAUAGUCCACGAUUAACUUUACUUAAUUUUAAAAAUUUGUAUAUCGUUGUUUAUAGAAAAUUUUAUAAGAAAAAUAAUUUUUAAUAAAUUUAAUUAAAUUAUAAAUCAAAUCAAGGUGCAGUUUAUAGUUAAGGUAGAAAUGGGUUACAAUAAAUUUAUUUAUUAAUGGAUAUAAAUUUUAAAAUUUUAUUAAAAGUGGAUUUGAUAGUAAUAUUAUUUAAUUUAAUAAUAUGAUUAUAGCUCUAAAAUAUGU